CUUGCAAACUAAAGAUGGCGACCGGCGCACGGGUGAGUAACACGUAUCCAACCUGCCGAUAACUUGGGGAUAGCCUUUCGAAAGAAAGAUUAAUAUCCGAUAGUAUAUUAAAACCGUAUGGUUUUACUAUUAAAGAAUUUCGGUUAUCGAUGGGGAUGCGUUCCAUUAGUUUGUUGGCGGGGUAACGGCCCACCAAGACUACGAUGGAUAGGGGUUCUGAGAGGAAGGUCCCCCACAUUGGAACUGAGACACGGUCCAA
rnacentral:rRNA from 1 species